UACAGAGGGUGCGAGCGUUAAUCGGAAUUACUGGGCGUAAAGCGCGCGUAGGCGGCUUUGCAAGUCGGGUGUGAAAUCCCCAGGCUUAACCUGGGAACUGCAUUCGAGACUGCAUUGCUAGAGUAUGGGAGAGGGAAGUGGAAUUUCCGGUGUAGCGGUGAAAUGCGUAGAUAUCGGGAGGAACACCAGUGGCGAAGGCGACUACCUGGCCUGUUUCUUGACGCUGGAGGCGCGAAAGCUAGGGGAGCAAACGGG
rnacentral:rRNA from 1 species